rnacentral:piRNA from 1 species
UGGGACUUAUGCAUUUUCUGCUCCUGAGC